rnacentral:rRNA from 1 species
GAUGAACGCUAGCGGCAGGCUUAACACAUGCAAGUCGAGGGGUAGAGGCUUUCGGGCCUUGAGACCGGCGCACGGGUGCGUAACGCGUAUGCAAUCUGCCUUGUACUGGGGGAUAGCCCAGAGAAAUUUGGAUUAAUACCCCAUAGUAUUUUCGGUUGGCAUCAACUGAUUAUUAAAGUUUUUCGGUACAAGAUGAGCAUGCGUCCCAUUAGCUAGUUGGUAUGGUAACGGCAUACCAAGGCUACGAUGGGUAGGGGUCCUGAGAGGGAGAUCCCCCACACUGGUACUGAGACACGGACCAGACUCCUACGGGAGGCAGCAGUGAGGAAUAUUGGUCAAUGGUCGCAAGACUGAACCAGCCAUGCCGCGUGCAGGAUGAAGCAUCUAUGGUGUGUAAACUGCUUUUGUACGGGAAGAAACACUGCUACGUGUAGCAGCUUGACGGUACCGUAAGAAUAAGGAUCGGCUAACUCCGUGCCAGCAGCCGCGGUAAUAC